CUGGACUGGGGCAGCCCCAGGUGCAGCCGGUGAGGCUGCGGGUGGGGCCGGCCCCGCCGUGCCGAGGGGCUCCAGCUGGGAGUCGGGGGCGGGGGGGCUGCCCGCCCGCGGGAGCUGGCCGAGGAGCGGAAGAAAGAGAGUCUCAGCCGCGUCUGCCCGCGGCCAGGAGCGGCCGGUCCGUGCGGCGAGGAAGGAUUCCUCCCGGCCGGCCCCGACGGGGCGCAGCACCGGCGCCGGGAGCUCGGCGCCCCCGAGCCGCCGGGUGGCCGGGAAGCCUCGCGGGGGAGGCGCUCGGAGGCGCGUGCCGCCCGCCCCCGCGUGGGUGAGGGUCGGGCAGCCGGCGCUGCGGAGGUGGGAAGGGGCGGAGGCGGAGAGACGAGCCCCGGGGCUGCGAAAGCCUCGGGCCGGGGCCGGUACCGGGAGCUGCGGCGGGUCGCGCGUCCCCCCGGGCCGGUCCCGGCCGCGCUUCUCCAGCUGCCCGCCUGCUCCCGCCUCCGGCUGCCUUUCGGGCUGGCCGGGUCCCCGCAGCUUUCUGCUGUUCUGCCGACACCGCCCCGUCCCCCGUCGCCUUCUCCACGUCCUUUCCACGCCGCUCCCUUGCUGGCUCCCCAGCCGCCUGAAGCAUUUCAUUCCUUCCACGCUGCCGCCUUCCCUGUCGCUUGUGAAAAUCGCAUCGGAAGGUCUCCCUCUACCCGGCGACUCGUAUCUGUUCUCAGCAUCUCCCUGUCUCUCUCCCUCCCUCACUGAAAUCGCGUUUAGCGUUAACGAGCGGGCAUUGCUUUAUUUGGCCGGGGACGCAAGGGAAUCGUUCUGCCUAACAUGCUUGCUGUACGUUACGAUAGCCAAAGCUUAUAUUGCUCCGUUACGUGUCUAUUUAUCCAAUUUCCAAAAAGUCAUUACUGUAAUCACAUAAUUAUUAUGUGUGCAGUUUAGGUCUCUGAGGGACUUCCGCGGGGGUUGUCGGUGGUCUCUAGCCACCUCUGGUGGUCUUUGGAGAGCAUCCUUUCUUAUACUUGUCUACGGUUUGGAAUUGGUCUUUCUUUGGUUUAUGUUUGCACUUUCUUAUCUCCUGCCUAGCUUCAGCUAGUUUGUUCUUUUUCAGAGGGCCUUAAUCUUCAAGGACAAUGGCUCGCGAUUAGGAGUCUCCCGAUUUCCUCAUGGGGCCUCUCCACGUCUGCAUUUCCCGGGAGGCGUUUAUCACGCUCGCCUAGCUCAGGGACCUCUGCGUGACGGACAACGUGUUGCAGCAGAGACGGAGACCUCGUCCACAAGCAGACGCACCGUGUAGGACUCACCAGUUGCCAGGAAAGUCUCUCCGAUCCUUCGUCGUGACGGGGCUCCCCGGCUGAAGCAUGGAUCCAGGCGAUGGUAAAGCACAAGGACAAUCGGAAUGAGCACGGAUCCUUCAUCGGCAAUUGAGGAGAAGAGGAUUUUGUACAGUUUUGAGAUGGGAUGGCAAAGAGGAACCUAGCAACUGUGGGAAUAACCUGGUUACCCAGGGCGUUGUUUUGUCAAGGAUGGAUUCAGCCCCCCGGCACUGUAAAAGGUGACACACGUAGCCUCAGAAGGGUGAAGGAGCAUGCCGCUGAGCAAUCUGAGAAGGUGCCAAGUGAGCCACCUUUGGGAUCAUCUGAGCAUCCGAAAGCAGCCGGGGUAGUAGCAAGGACGAGCACGGAGUCGGUGACUUCUCACAAGCACAACGGUAAAUUUGUCUCUCGAUGGAUGAGAUGCGCACCAAAGAGUGACGGAGGAGGUGAGCGGAGGGCUGUGAGAAGAUGGAGAGCCACAAGCAAAGUAGGAUUUCGGCACCGGAGGCAGCUUGGGCGAGUGUGUUACAGGUGGCACACGAGCCUUGACGUGACAACUGGAAACAGCAGCGGCAGGGCAGGUGAAGGGCCGAGGUGCCGCGGAGGGGCCGAGCCGCACGCAGACCGACAGUCUGAGAAGGUGCUUUGGGAGUCGCCUUUGGGAUCGGAUGAGCGUUUGAAGCGAGCCGGGGUAGUCGCAAGGAGGAUCGUGGGUGACUCGUUAGAAGCGCAAGGGAAACUUUGUCUCUCGGUAUCUUAGGUAACGCCAGCGACGACGGCUGCAGCAUCUGACUCUGCAAAGAGCCGGUGAGCGGAACCCCGCGACGCUUCUGAGUAUAGGCGGGUGUCGUGGAAGAGGUAGGCACGGAGCAGCGCGAUGGCAACGGCCGGUUGUGUUUUCUCCCGUUGGUGUUUUCUUGCAGGUGAAGAGGAAGGCGUCAACUGCAGGAACGUGCUAGUUAGCUGCCGUGCUGCUUUUGUGGAGGAUGGAAUCGGACCUCCGGCCCUGUGAAAGCUAAGUCGAGCGAACGGGGCCGAGAGGAGGGGCCGAGGAUGUAGGCGGGGCUCAAUUUGACUACGUAGACUGGAUUUAAUGAAAACCUCUGUCAGGGGAAUAAACUUCUGUUUUUCCCGUC